rfam:Parcubacteria bacterium GW2011_GWA2_31_28 TR15_C0006, whole genome shotgun sequence.
UGCCGGGUCGUCUAAUGGUAGUGACAUUGGGUUUUGGUCCCAAGGAUCGGGGUUCGAGUCCCUGCCCGGCAG